AAGACUCUGCCUUCAGGGAUUAUUUCUAGAGUUCAUUCCUGGAGGAGUUUCUCUGACCUUGUAGAGUACCAGAAACCAUGAAGAGAGGCCCAGAGUUCCCUCCUGAGAUUGAAGUCAGAUUUACUACAACUGCCUUUUGCCAUUGAUGACUAUUUCUUUCCCCCUCCCCUCUUUUUUGAGGGUGAUGUGGGGUGGGGGGAAUGCAGUCUGAGAGCU